UUGAAUUUUUUAAACAACUAAUUUGAAAACAUGCCUAAAUUGCCAAAAAUUAAUGAUCCAUAGAUGGUGUUUAUCUAUACUUAACAAUUGGUAAGGCAAUGAAUCUCCUAUAUAAGGGGGUCGGGGUUUCUUUACGUAUAUAUAUAAAUUGUUUCUUGUGAUAAGAUAUCAAAAUGGGAAAAAGUUUAGUUGUGUUCAUGUUGUUCCUUGCCCUCUUUGCUUCAGACAUUUUACUUUAUUCCUAUUUUACACUUUUUGCUUAUGUAAUGUUAUUGCUUUUUAUAUUUUUUUUGUUACGUGUUCAGAUAUGAAGGUUUUCCGCAUACAUGUUGAUUCUUUAAGUUUUGUUUUUAACAAUAAUUAUGGAAAGUACAUGAUUAAUGAUGGUUUUGGAUUUUCAAAGUGGAUACUAUAGAAACAAAAUUAAUCACCUGUACAUUAAGAUGAGACUUUGAUGACUUGGACAGAAGCAGCAGGGAGAGAUCCAAGGUUUUGUGAAUAUGUAUUCACGAGAUAAACUUGUGAGACUGAUUAUCUAUGUUUGCAAGACUGCAUAGAUUUACCGGAAAAUAAUCAUAAGAGUACUGGAAAAUGUCAGAUAAGGGAUAAGGUUAAUCGAUGUGUCUGUAACACUUGUGCAUCUUGAGCAUGCAUAUGCUCAAUGAAGUUACUUAUAAUAAAUAAGUACUAUGUACGAUGUACACCAGUCACAUGACUUAAUUUUUGUGUAUGCCAGCUGUCAUUUCUGAUGGUGUAUUUAAUAUCAAUAAAACGUUUGUGGGUUGUAGCAUACCAUGCAACUGCCCAUGUUUAGACUCUUAUCACCA